GGAAACAGAGUUCAUCAUAGGACACUCCGGACAGGGAACACAGAGGACAGCACAUGUCGUUUUCCAGGUGGCUCAGGAGGAGAUGCGUCUUCAUAUCCUCUUCCAACAUAACCACUUCACCGCAUAUGUCACAAACACUUCUCCCCAAAAAAGAAAAUGUACGCCCGUCUGCUUUUUGCAUCACGAAGAUAAAACAGAAGACUUUUGGGAAAAUGUUUUAUGAACCGAUGAAACCGAAGCAGAUGUUUUUUGGGUUCAAAUGAGAGGCGUCGCGAUUGGAAAUGAAAAAAACAAAACAAAUCAAAAAAAUACUGGAUCCCAGCAUCAAAGCCUCAUCCUGUCCGUCAAACAUGUGGGUGGUGAAGUCCUUCGUUGGGCCUGUUUUUCUGCCUCUGGACCAGGACGGUUUGAACAAGAAAAUGUCAGGACAUCUGCACAUGAGCUGAGUCUGAAGGGAAACUGGGUCAACGGCCACAUGAACACAAGUCGUUCAAAAAAAGGAACAGUUAAAAGAAAAACAAGACGUCUUGGAACAGCCAAAUCAAAGGAUCUUAAUCUAAUAGAAAUGUUGUGGGAGGAUCUGAAGAAAGAAGCUCAUGUGAGGAAACCCAGCAACAUGUCAGAUAUGAAGCGGUUCUGUGCUCCUGAAUGUGGACAACGACCAAGGACCUGGUCAUUGACUUCAGGGGGAAGAGGACGCCAAUGGAGCCCAUCACCAUCCAGGGUCUGGAGGUGGAAGUAGUGGACCGCAAGUACAAGUACCUGGGACUCUACAUGAACAACAGACUGGACUGGAAGGACAACAAUGAUGCUGUGGACAAAAAGGGUCUGAGUAGAUUCUACUUUCUGAGGAAGCUCAGGUCUUUUAAUGUGUGCAGCGAGUUACUAGAGUCUUUCUACCGGUCUGCUGUAUCGAGUGCCCUGUACUUUGAUGUGGUUUGUUGGGGGAGUUGUACCAGCAAAAGGACAUCAGUAGGAUUGGAGAUGGAAUUGGAGAUGUUUGUCUAAAUGAGGACACUAAUCUCCAACCUGGACAACCGAUCCCAUCCACUACACCAAAGCACCACCAGAGGGGAAUAGGAGCUCAUUCUCCAGCUCCCAUAGUGAACGCUGCACAACUUCUUUCAUACCCUCCUCUAUCCAGCUGUGCAACUGUUCACCUUUCUUUAACAACUAAACUACUAUGACCAACCAAUUUCCCUUGUGGAUAAUUGAAGUCUGUCUAAGGUCUAAGUCUUAAAUUCUUCAUGGGAAGUCACUGGAGAUGUCUAGCUGAUGUAUUUUUCUGCAGAUACUGAAAACAAGUACUCAUAUUCUCUCACACCUCAUAGAUACGUACAAAUGAUUUAAUUUCUUGAGUAAAUUAAUGCACGAUUAAAUAUUUUCACC